GACGAACGCUGGCGGCGUGCUUAACACAUGCAAGUCGAACGGAAAGGCCCCGCUUUUGUGGGGUGCUCGCGUGGCGAACGGGUGAGUAACACGUGAGUAACCUGCCCUUGACUUUGGGAUAACUUCCGGCAACUGGGGCUAAUACCGGAUAGGAGCUCCUGCUGCAUGGUGGGGGUUGGAAAGUUUCGGCGGUUGGGGAUGGACUCGUGGCUUAUCAGCCUGUUGGUGGGGUAGUGGCUUACCAAGGCUUUGACGGGUAGCCGGCCUGAGAGGGUGACCGGCCACAUUGGGACUGAGACACGGCCCAGACUCCUACGGGAGGCAACAGUGGGGAAUAUUGCACGAUGGGCGGAAGCCUGAUGCAGCAACGCCGCGUGCGGGAUGACGGCCUUCGGGUUGUAAACCGCUUUCGCCUGUGACGAAGCGUGAGUGACGGUAAUGGGUAAAGAAGCACCGGCUAACUACGUG
rnacentral:rRNA from 1 species